rnacentral:rRNA from 1 species
UACGGAGGGUGCAAGCGUUAUCCGGAAUCAUUGGGUUUAAAGGGUCCGCAGGCGGAUUUAUAAGUCAGUGGUGAAAUCCUGCAGCUUAACUGCAGAACUGCCAUUGAUACUGUAGAUCUUGAAUUGAGUGGGAGUGGGCGGAAUAUGACAUGUAGCGGUGAAAUGCAUAGAUAUGUCAUAGAACACCGAAAGCGAAGGCAGCUCACUAUACUUAAAUUGACGCUCAUGGACGAAAGCGUGGGGAGCAAACAGG